rnacentral:rRNA from 1 species
UACGUAGGGGGCGAGCGUUGUCCGGAGUUACUGGGCGUAAAGCGUGCGCAGGCGGUUCGUUGUGUCGGUGGUGAAAGCCCCGGGCUCAACCUGGGAAUGGCCAUGGAAACUGGCGAACUGGAGUGUGGCAGAGGGGGGUGGAAUUCCGCGUGGUAGCAGUGAAAUGCGUAGAGAUGCGGAGGAACACCGAUGGCGAAGGCAGCCCCCUGGGCUAGCACUGACCGCUCAGGCACGAAAGCGUGGGG